rnacentral:rRNA from 1 species
UGAGUAAUGUCUGGGAAACUGCCCGAUGGAGGGGGAUAACUACUGGAAACGGUAGCUAAUACCGCAUAACGUCGCAAGACCAGAGUGGGGGACCUUCGGGCCUCACACCAUCGGAUGUGCCCAGAUGGGAUUAGCUAGUAGGAGGGGUAAUGGCUCACCUAGGCGACGAUCCCUAGCUGGUCUGAGAGGAUGACCAGCCACACUGGAACUGAGACACGGUCCAGACUCCUACGGGAGGCAGCAGUGGGGAAUAUUGCACAAUGGGCGCAAGCCUGAUGCAGCCAUGCCGCGUGUAUGAAGAAGGCCUUCGGGUUGUAAAGUACUUUCAGCGGGGAGGAAGGCGGUGGAGUUAAUAGCUUCACCGAUUGACGUUACCCGCAGAAGAAGCACCGGCUAACUCCGUGCCAGCAGCCGCGGUAAUACGGAGGGUGCAAGCGUUAAUCGGAAUUACUGGGCGUAAAGCGCACGCAGGCGGUCUGUCAAGUCGGAUGUGAAAUCCCCGGG